AUUGAACGCUGGCGGCAGGCCUAACACAUGCAAGUCGAGCGGAUGAAGGGAGCUUGCUCCUGGAUUCAGCGGCGGACGGGUGAGUAAUGCCUAGGAAUCUGCCUGGUAGUGGGGGAUAACGUCCGGAAACGGGCGCUAAUACCGCAUACGUCCUGAGGGAGAAAGUGGGGGGUCUUCGGACCUCACGCUAUCAGAUGAGCCUAGGUCGGAUUAGCUAGUUGGUGGGGUAAAGGCCUACCAAGGCGACGAUCCGUAACUGGUCUGAGAGGAUGAUCAGUCACACUGGAACUGAGACACGGUCCAGACUCCUACGGGAGGCAGCAGUGGGGAAUAUUGGACAAUGGGCGAAAGCCUGAUCCAGCCAUGCCGCGUGUGUGAAGAAGGUCUUCGGAUUGUAAAGCACUUUAAGUUGGGAGGAAGGGCAGUAAGUUAAUACCUUGCUGUUUUGACGUUACCAACAGAAUAGGCACCGGCUAACUUCGUG
rnacentral:rRNA from 1 species